rnacentral:rRNA from 1 species
AAGGAUCAUUACAGAGUUCAUGCCCUCACGGGUAGAUCUCCCACCCUUGAAUAUUAUACCUUAGUUGCUUUGGCAGGCCGGGGCAACCCCCGGGGCUUCGGCCUUGGUGUGCCUGCCAGAGGAAACAAACUCUGUUUUUAGUGAUGUCUGAGUACUAUAUAAUAGUUAAAACUUUCAACAACGGAUCUCUUGGUUCUGGCAUCGAUGAAGAACGCAGCGAAAUGCGAUAAGUAAUGUGAAUUGCAGAAUUCAGUGAAUCAUCGAAUCUUUGAACGCACAUUGCGCCCCGUGGUAUUCCGCGGGGCAUGCCUGUUCGAGCGUCAUUUCAACCCAUCAAGCUUCGGCUUGGUCUUGGGGCCUGCGAUUCCGCAGCCUCUAAACCCAGUGGCGGUGCCUCCGAGCUCUGAGCGUAGUAAUUCUUCUCGCUAUAGGGUCUCGGUGGUGUCUUGCCAGUAACCCCCAAUUUUUUACAGGUUGACCUCGGAUCAGGUAGGGAUACCCGCUGAACUUAAGCAUAUCAAUAAGCGGAGGAAAAGAAACCAACAGGGAUUACCUCAGUAACGGCGAGUGAAGCGGUAACAGCUCAAAUUUGAAAUCUGCCGCAAGGCCGAGUUGUAAUUUGUAGAAGAUGCUUUGGGUAUGGCCCCGGUCUAAGUUCGUUGGAACACGACGUCAUAGAGGGUGAGAAUCCCGUAUGUGACUGGGUGCUUUUGCCUAUGUAAAGCUCUUUCGACGAGUCGAGUUGUUUGGGAAUGCAGCUCAAAAUGGGUGGUAUAUUUCAUCUAAAGCUAAAUAUUGGCCAGAGACCGAUAGCGCACAAGUAGAGUGAUCGAAAGAUGAAAAGCACUUUGGAAAGAGAGUUAAACAGUACGUGAAAUUGUUGAAAGGGAAGCGCUUGCAACCAGACUUGCACGCUGUUGAUCAUCCAGGCUUCUGUCUGGUGCACUCGGCAGCGUUCAGGCCAGCGUCGGUUCUGGUGGUGGGAUAAAGGCCUUGGGAAUGUAGCUUCUUUCGGGGAGUGUUAUAGCCCUCGGUGCAAUGCCGCCUAUCGGGACCGAGGACCGCGCUUCGGCUAGGAUGCUGGCGUAAUGGUUGUAAGCGACC